AUUGAACGCUGGCGGCAGGCCUAACACAUGCAAGUCGAACGAGUGGCGGACGGGUGAGUAAUGUCGGGGAAACUGCCUGAUGGAGGGGGAUAACUAAUGGAAACGGUAGCUAAUACCGCAUACCCUCAGAUGUUACCAGCUGGGAUUAGCUUGUUGGUGGGGUAACGGCUCACCAAGGCGACGAUCCCUAGGUGGUCUGAGAGGAUGACCAGCCACACUGGAACUGAGACACGGUCCAGACUCCUACGGGAUGCAGCAGUGGGGAAUAUUGCGCAAUGGGCGCAAGCCUGAUGCAGCCAUGCCGCGUGGAUGAAGAAGGCCUUCGGGUUGUAAAGUACUUUCAGCAGGGAGGCGUUACCCGCAGAAGAAGCACCGGCUAACUCCGUGCCAGCAGCCGCGGUAAUUC
rnacentral:rRNA from 1 species